AGAGUUUGAUCCUGGCUCAGAUUGAACGCUGGCGGCAUGCCUUACACAUGCAAGUCGAACGGCAGCGCGGACUUCGGUCUGGCGGCGAGUGGCGAACGGGUGAGUAAUGCAUCGGAACGUACCUUUCAGUGGGGGAUAACGUAGCGAAAGUUACGCUAAUACCGCAUAUUCUGUGAGCAGGAAAGCAGGGGAUCGCAAGACCUUGCGCUGAUGGAGCGGCCGAUGUCAGAUUAGCUAGUUGGUGGGGUAACGGCUCACCAAGGCGACGAUCUGUAGCGGGUCUUAGAGGAUGAUCCGCCACACUGGAACUGAGACACGGUCCAGACUCCUACGGGAGGCAGCAGUGGGGAAUUUUGGACAAUGGGCGCAAGCCUGAUCCAGCCAUGCCGCGUGAGUGAAGAAGGCCUUCGGGUUGUAAAGCUCUUUCGGCCGGGAAAAAAUCGCUUGGGUUAAUACCCUGAGUGGAUGAUGGUACCGGAAUAAGAAGCACCGGCUAACUACGUGCCAGCAGCCGCGGUAAUACGUAGGGUGCGAGCGUUAAUCGGAAUUACUGGGCGUAAAGCGUGCGCAGGCGGUUUUGUAAGACAGGCGUGAAAUCCCCGGGCUCAACCUGGGAACUGCGUUUGUGACUGCAAGGCUAGAGUAUGGCAGAGGGGGGUGGAAUUCCACGUGUAGCAGUGAAAUGCGUAGAGAUGUGGAGGAACACCAAUGGCGAAGGCAGCCCCCUGGGCCAAUACUGACGCUCAUGCACGAAAGCGUGGGGAGCAAACAGGAUUAGAUACCCUGGUAGUCCACGCCCUAAACGAUGUCAACUAGGUGUUGGGUGGGUAAAACCAUUUGGUACCGUAGCUAACGCGUGAAGUUGACCGCCUGGGGAGUACGGCCGCAAGGUUAAAACUCAAAGGAAUUGACGGGGACCCGCACAAGCGGUGGAUGAUGUGGAUUAAUUCGAUGCAACGCGAAAAACCUUACCUACCCUUGACAUGCCAGGAACUUGCCAGAGAUGGCUUGGUGCCCGAAAGGGAGCCUGGACACAGGUGCUGCAUGGCUGUCGUCAGCUCGUGUCGUGAGAUGUUGGGUUAAGUCCCGCAACGAGCGCAACCCUUGUCGUUAAUUGCCAUCAUUUAGUUGGGCACUUUAACGAGACUGCCGGUGACAAACCGGAGGAAGGUGGGGAUGACGUCAAGUCCUCAUGGCCCUUAUGGGUAGGGCUUC
rnacentral:rRNA from 1 species